UAGGGAAUCUUCGGCAAUGGACGGAAGUCUGACCGAGCAACGCCGCGUGAGUGAAGAAGGUUCUCGGAUCGUAAAGCUCUUUUGUUCGAGAAGAACGUUGGUACGAGUGGAAAAUCUACCAAGUCACGGUAACCAACCAGAACGGGACCGCUAACUACGUGCCAGCAGCCGCGGUACUACGUAGGUCCCGAGCGUUAUCCGGUUUUAUUGGGCGUAAAGCGAGCGCAGGGGGUUCUUUAAGUCUGAAGUUAAAGGCAGUGGCUUAACCAGUGUACGCUUUGGAAACUGGAUGACGUGAGUGCAGAAGGGGAGAGUGGAAGUGCAUGUGUAGCGGGGAAAUGCGUAGAUAUAUGGAGGAAAACCGGUGGCGAAAGCGGCUCUCUGGUCUGUAACUGACGCUGAGGCUCGAAAGCGUGGGGAGCAAACAGG
rnacentral:rRNA from 1 species